AAUCCAUAGGUUAAUGAGGCGAACCGGGGGAACUGAAACAUCUAAGUACCCCGAGGAAAAGAAAUCAACCGAGAUUCCCCCAGUAGCGGCGAGCGAACGGGGAGGAGCCCAGAGCCUGAAUCAGCAUGUGUGUUAGUGGAAGCGUCUGGAAAGGCGCGCGAUACAGGGUGACAGCCCCGUACACAAAAGCGCAUGUGCUGUGAGCUCGAUGAGUAGGGCGGGACACGUGGUAUCCUGUCUGAAUAUGGGGGGACCAUCCUCCAAGGCUAAAUACUCCUGACUGACCGAUAGUGAACCAGUACCGUGAGGGAAAGGCGAAAAGAACCCCGGCGAGGGGAGUGAAAAAGAACCUGAAACCGUGUACGUACAAGCAGUGGGAGCCCCACCACCAAAGCGUUUCGCUUUGUGUGGUGCACAAAGAAGCGUAACGACAGCACUGAAUGACGGUUAACGGAGCGCAAGCGACGUUCAACAUACAAAGUCAAGCAGUGGAGCGCUUUGGGGUGGGGUGACUGCGUACCUUUUGUAUAAUGGGUCAGCGACUUAUAUUCUGUAGCAAGGUUAACCGAAUAGGGGAGCCGGAGGGAAACCGAGUCUUAACCGGGCGUUAAGUUGCAGGGUAUAGACCCGAAACCCGGUGAUCUAGCCAUGGGCAGGUUGAAGGUUGGGUAACACUAACUGGAGGACCGAACCGACUAAUGUUGAAAAAUUAGCGGAUGACCUGUGGCUGGGGGUGAAAGGCCAAUCAAACCGGGAGAUAGCUGGUUCUCCCCGAAAGCUAUUUAGGUAGCGCCUCGUGAAUUCAUCUCCGGGGGUAGAGCACUGUUUCGGCUAGGGGGCCAUCCCGGCUUACCAACCCGAUGCAAACUGCGAAUACCGGAGAAUGUUAUCACGGGAGACACACGGCGGGUGCUAACGUCCGUCGUGAAGAGGGAAACAACCCAGACCGCCAGCUAAGGUCCCAAAGUCAUGGUUAAGUGGGAAACGAUGUGGGAAGGCCCAGACAGCCAGGAUGUUGGCUUAGAAGCAGCCAUCAUUUAAAGAAAGCGUAAUAGCUCACUGGUCGAGUCGGCCUGCGCGGAAGAUGUAACGGGGCUAAACCAUGCACCGAAGCUGCGGCAGCGACGCUUAUGCGUUGUUGGGUAGGGGAGCGUUCUGUAAGCCUGUGAAGGUGGCCUGUGAGGGUUGCUGGAGGUAUCAGAAGUGCGAAUGCUGACAUAAGUAACGAUAAAGCGGGUGAAAAGCCCGCUCGCCGGAAGACCAAGGGUUCCUGUCCAACGUUAAUCGGGGCAGGGUGAGUCGACCCCUAAGGCGAGGCCGAAAGGCGUAGUCGAUGGGAAACGGGUUAAUAUUCCCGUACUUGGUGUUACUGCGAAGGGGGGACGGAGAAGGCUAUGUUGGCCGGGCGACGGUUGUCCCGGUUUAAGCGUGUAGGUGUGUGUUCCAGGUAAAUCCGGUUCACUUUAACACUGAGGCGUGAUGACGAGGCACUACGGUGCUGAAGCAACAAAUGCCCUGCUUCCAGGAAAAGCCUCUAAGCAUCAGGUAACAUCAAAUCGUACCCCAAACCGACACAGGUGGUCAGGUAGAGAAUACCAAGGCGCUUGAGAGAACUCGGGUGAAGGAACUAGGCAAAAUGGUGCCGUAACUUCGGGAGAAGGCACGCUGACAUGUAGGUGAAGUGAUUUACUCAUGGAGCUGAAGUCAGUCGAAGAUACCAGCUGGCUGCAACUGUUUAUUAAAAACACAGCACUGUGCAAACACGAAAGUGGACGUAUACGGUGUGACGCCUGCCCGGUGCCGGAAGGUUAAUUGAUGGGGUCAGCGCAAGCGAAGCUCCUGAUCGAAGCCCCGGUAAACGGCGGCCGUAACUAUAACGGUCCUAAGGUAGCGAAAUUCCUUGUCGGGUAAGUUCCGACCUGCACGAAUGGCGUAAUGAUGGCCAGGCUGUCUCCACCCGAGACUCAGUGAAAUUGAACUCGCUGUGAAGAUGCAGUGUACCCGCGGCAAGACGGAAAGACCCCGUGAACCUUUACUAUAGCUUGACACUGAACAUUGAGCCUUGAUGUGUAGGAUAGGUGGGAGGCUUUGAAGUGUGGACGCCAGUCUGC
rnacentral:rRNA from 1 species